GCACUGUUGAGUAGUCCCAUAAUAGGACGAAACGGCAGUCCAGUGC
rfam:Schistosoma rodhaini strain Burundi genome assembly, scaffold: SROB_scaffold0000104